GCCGGGUACAGUGGCGCACACCUGUAAUCCCAGAAGCUCAGGAGGCUGAGACAGGAGGAUCACUGAGUUCAAAGCCAGCCUUAGCAACUGCGAGGUGCUAAGCAAAUCAGUGAGACCCUCUCUCUU
rnacentral:sRNA from 1 species